rnacentral:misc_RNA from 1 species
GGCAUAUCUAUAAAUGCAACUUCUAUUUCUAUUCCAUUCCAUUUUGACCCUAACAGGCGAUUUUUCUUGAUUAACAUAUAAAAAUUACUAUGCUUUGUGAAAUGCUUCAUAUUAUGCAAAAAUUUUGUUCACAAGAGUCCUACCCUCAAUCCAAAAGAAUAAAAGCGGGCACAUAUGCACGCCACCAUGAUAUAUAUAUACCAGGAUUAUACUUGAAAAUUUUUCUUUUUCUUUUUUCGUUUUCUUUCCAAUGCAAUGCCAUAAUAUGUAUAAAGAUAGACUUCCUAAGACAUGUUGCAAUCAAUUUUAAAUUUGCCUCCCUCAAUUCGAGUCCAUAUUAAUAGUUUCUUAUAAAAACAAAACAGACAGCUCCACCAUGAUAAAAACACACACAGCGAUCCAGGAUUCACUUAAUAAUUUACCCAGCG